UUGCUUGCCUUUUUCUACAGCACUUCAAAAAUUACCUAAAAUUCAUGUCUCUAGACCAAAAUACCCCCUUAAACUCAAAAUUUUGGCCAAAAAGGUUUAAUUGAAUUAUUGUUUCCUUCCUUGAGUAUUUACGUGGUGUUAUUUUGAUAGUAAGAAUCGAAUAUGGAUUAAGGUAUACCCACGUUAAAUAAUUUUUUCUUAAAUCCAGCUUAUUUAAGUGCAAUAGAAACUUUUGUAAGAAGAAGAAGUAGCAAGAAAUUGUUCAUUUUUAACUUUACUAUAUUUAAAAGUGUGCACUACGUAUAAUACACUUUUUCAAUUCAUUUGUUGUAUUAUGUAAAGAAAACCUGAAAUAUGUUAGCAAAAAUGUAAAACAUUGUUUUUUCUUUUAAUUUUGAAUGUUAUAUAAAGCGUUCUGAACCAGCUUAAAUUAAACGUUCCAAAAAUUACAUUUUUGAAUGUUAUAAUAAUUCUUUUUUGUCGAAUUUAAAAACGAUGACUAUUUUAAAAAAGUAUUUUGAUAAUUACAAAACAGUGACCAAAUUUUAACAAUUUCAAUAUAACUUUAGUUUAUCAAAUAAAAAUAAAUAAUAAAAGUGUGACAUCACCUUAACAUCGCACAUAACAUAAAUGUUUAUUUCUUCGAGGAAAAUACGAACAUUGGAACUCACUUGGACGUGUUCUUACAAGUUAUUUUGAUUUUUACUAAAAAGUGUGAAUGCAAUGUUAUUAGUCACACUUCAAGGAUUCCAGGAAGGCAUAAACCAUUUCUGUAGGUACACUAUUGUUCCAAGGACAGGUACGAAAGAUUCCGGUCUUUAUAUGGUGUGUCUAUGGACGAACCGAUAUGGAUGACGUUAGCCCACCCCACUACAAACACUUGGUCGAGAAGAGGAAAAGAAAAAGCUCUGCAAUAUGAUAUCUAUGUGCUUUUGUUUAUAUAAUUUUUCUGUUUAUUUGAUGGACAUGUUACGUGUCAGUUAAACUUUGUAGUGUGUAGACACAUAAGAAAUCAUUAUUGAAUAUACAUUAAUGUAACAAUAAUAUUGUUAAACCAUUUGUUCGCCUGAUGAUGUCCAUAUACAUGGACGAAACGUAGUGACAAAAAGAAAAUAUUUGUGUCAUUUGACCUGAAACUCAUUUAAUAACAACGUUAUGGUACUGUGACACAAUCAGGAAGAAAAGAAAAAGUAAAUCACCGCGAGGAGCGAAUAAUUGGUCGUGCCGCGGAGCCAGCAAUUCAACCGUAGGUAAGUAGUGCCAAAUUAACAGCUCUGAUUCAGACAAGAGUGUCAAAAAAAAACGGUUUAGAGAGCUAUUCAGCGAAAUACAAACUUGUGUCGGUCUAAAUUAAAUCGGACACCACGUGUUUUAGAUCGUCACAAGGUCGUUAUGCUGGAUUUCGCCAAGAAUAAUAUGGACACUUAUUGGACAUCUGUAUAUUUGAAUUAAAAGUUGUUAUUGAAUCUUCAAUAACGUGUUUUUUUAUUUACCUUAAUAUGCUGUUUAAAGGUUAUUUUUUCUGAUGAGAAAAAUUUGAAUUUGUAUAGUCCUGAUGGUGUGCACUCUUAUUGACGCGAAUUACGGAAGGAACCCAAAUAUUUCCAUAGGCGAAAUUUUGGUGGCGGCUCGGUGAUGAUAUUUCUAGACACCAAGGGGUGUCUUGAAAUGCAAUUCACUUUAACAAAAAUGAAUAGUAGAGAUUAUAUUCAAGUUCUUCGACGCAGUUUGGUACCUUUUUUGGCAGAUAAUCAUGAGAGAUAUUGGAUUUCCCAGAUUUGCCAGAAUCCAUACCACCAGAGACACAAUUUAUUGGUUAUAAAUACUAUUGAUGUAAUGAAUUGACCCGCAUGCUCUCUUGAGUUCUUGUCAAGAGAAUAUACGCGGAAGGAAAGACAUAUGAGAUUGUAUCAGAGCUUAACGCGUUCCUCGUGGGGAAUGGCUUAAAACCGAGCCAGAACUUUUGGGUAACUUAGUUAAAUUAAUGAGAAUAAGAAUUUUUGACUUGAUUCUUGCCAAAGGUUCUCAAAUAUAUUAUUAGUUUCCGUUUUUAAUUAAGUUUCAUUAACAUCUGAAGCCACGAAGGUUAUAAAUUUGAAACACUUGAAUUUUGUUAUGUUUGUAUUACUAAGAAAUAAAAAUACACUUGUUACGUUUUUGAAAUUAUUUUGUUUUUUGAAUUAACUGCCUUGACCAUUACUAUUCCCUAUCAUUUUUUUAAUUUGUUUAUAAACUACACAAAAAUUCAAUAUUUUUAAAGUGUUUUAUAAAUAUGAACCGCACUGUAUUAUAAUAUGUUAUAUUA